UGGCUAAGAUCAAGUGUAGUAUCUGUUCU
rnacentral:piRNA from 5 species